rnacentral:rRNA from 1 species
AGAGUUUGAUCAUGGCUCAGAUUGAACGCUGGCGGCAGGCCUAACACAUGCAAGUCGAGCGGUAGAGAGAAGCUUGCUUCUCUUGAGAGCGGCGGACGGGUGAGUAAUGCCUAGGAAUCUGCCUGGUAGUGGGGGAUAACGCUCGGAAACGGACGCUAAUACCGCAUACGUCCUACGGGAGAAAGCAGGGGACCUUCGGGCCUUGCGCUAUCAGAUGAGCCUAGGUCGGAUUAGCUAGUUGGUGAGGUAAUGGCUCACCAAGGCGACGAUCCGUAACUGGUCUGAGAGGAUGAUCAGUCACACUGGAACUGAGACACGGUCCAGACUCCUACGGGAGGCAGCAGUGGGGAAUAUUGGACAAUGGGCGAAAGCCUGAUCCAGCCAUGCCGCGUGUGUGAAGAAGGUCUUCGGAUUGUAAAGCACUUUAAGUUGGGAGGAAGGGCAGUUACCUAAUACGUAUCUGUUUUGACGUUACCGACAGAAUAAGCCCGGCUAACUCUGUGCCAGCAGCCGCGGUAAUACAGAGGGUGCAAGCGUUAAUCGGAAUUACUGGGCGUAAAGCGCGCGUAGGUGGUUUGUUAAGUUGGAUGUGAAAUCCCCGGGCUCAACCUGGGAACUGCAUUCAAAACUGACAAGCUAGAGUAUGGUAGAGGGUGGUGGAAUUUCCUGUAGCGGUGAAAUGCGUAGAUAUAGGAAGGAACACCAGUGGCGAAGGCGACCACCUGGACUGAUACUGACACUGAGGUGCGAAAGCGUGGGGACAAACAGGAUUAGAUACCCUCGUAGUCC